rnacentral:rRNA from 1 species
CCUUGGAGGGUGAUAGCCCCGUUCAUACUUAUUACUAGAAGCGUACGAAAAGGUUUCUACGAGUCGUGUUGCUUGGGACUGCAGCACUAAGUGGGUGGUAAAUUCCAUCUAAAGCUAAAUAUUGGUGGGAGACCGAUAGCGAACAAGUACCGUGAGGGAAAGAUGCAAAGAACUUUGAAAAGAGAGUUAAAUAGUACCUGAAAUUGCUGAAAUGGAACCGAUGGGAAGCAGUGUCGGUGGCGGGUAUUUAUACUUGUCACAAGCCAGGCUUCUUUUUCUGUUUCGGGAAAGGCUGAUAAACCAGUUUGGGUUGUCUACGCCGUCGUGCUAGCGAAGGACUCUGACGAAAUGCUUCUCAUCACCCCGUCUUGAAACACGGACCAAGGAGUCUAACAUGUGUGCGAGUGCUCGGGGUCAACCCCCCAGCGCGAAAUAAACGUAAAGGGGAAUUUAUUCCCUUAGGUAGGAUCCUUAGGUGCACUAUCGACCGACCAUGAUC